AGUGCUGUAGCGCAGUGGGUUAACGCCCUGGCCUGAAGCGCCGGCAUCCCAUAUGGGCCCGGGUUCUAAUCCCGGCUGUUCCA
rnacentral:tRNA from 1 species